CCGGUAAACGGCGGCCGUAACUAUAACGGUCCUAAGGUAGCGAAAUUCCUUGUCGGGUAAGUUCCGACCUGCACGAAUGGCGUAAUGAUGGCCAGGCUGUCUCCACCCGAGACUCAGUGAAAUUGAACUCGCUGUGAAGAUGCAGUGUACCCGCGGCAAGACGGAAAGACCCCGUGAACCUUUACUAUAGCUUGACACUGAACAUUGAGCCUUGAUGUGUAGGAUAGGUGGGAGGCUUUGAAGUGUGGACGCCAGUCUGCAUGGAGCCGACCUUGAAAUACCACCCUUUAAUGUUUGAUGUUCUAACGUUGGCCCCUAAUCGGGGUUGCGGACAGUGUCUGGUGGGUAGUUUGACUGGGGCGGUCUCCUCCUAAAGAGUAACGGAGGAGCACGAAGGUUGGCUAAUCCUGGUCGGACAUCAGGAGGUUAGUGCAAUGGCAUAAGCCAGCUUGACUGCGAGCGUGACGGCGCGAGCAGGUGCGAAAGCAGGUCAUAGUGAUCCGGUGGUUCUGAAUGGAAGGGCCAUCGCUCAACGGAUAAAAGGUACUCCGGGGAUAACAGGCUGAUACCGCCCAAGAGUUCAUAUCGACGGCGGUGUUUGGCACCUCGAUGUCGGCUCAUCACAUCCUGGGGCUGAAGUAGGUCCCAAGGGUAUGGCUGUUCGCCAUUUAAAGUGGUACGCGAGCUGGGUUUAGAACGUCGUGAGACAGUUCGGUCCCUAUCUGCCGUGGGCGCUGGAGAACUGAGGGGGGCUGCUCCUAGUACGAGAGGACCGGAGUGGACGCAUCACUGGUGUUCGGGUUGUCAUGCCAAUGGCACUGCCCGGUAGCUAAAUGCGGAAGAGAUAAGUGCUGAAAGCAUCUAAGCACGAAACUUGCCCCG
rnacentral:rRNA from 1 species